rnacentral:rRNA from 1 species
UACGUAGGGUGCGAGCGUUGUCCGGAAUUAUUGGGCGUAAAGGGCUCGUAGGCGGUUUGUCGCGUCGGGAGUGAAAACACACAGCUUAACUGUGUGCUUGCUUCCGAUACGGGCAGACUAGAGGUAUGCAGGGGAGAACGGAAUUCCUGGUGUAGCGGUGAAAUGCGCAGAUAUCAGGAGGAACACCGGUGGCGAAGGCGGUUCUCUGGGCAUUACCUGACGCUGAGGCACGAAGGUCAGGGGAGCAAACGGG